GCACCGCUGAGGAUCUUCAGAAGGUCUCUGCUGAUCUCAGGUCUAGCAUCUGGAAACAGAUGUCUGCGGCCGGGACUAAGUUCAUCCCUAGCAACACCUUCGCUCACUACGACCAGGUUCUUGACACCACCGCCAUGCUCGGUGCUGUUCCCCCAAGAUACGGAUACACCAGUGGUGAGAUCGGCCUUGAUGUUUACUUCUCCAUGGCCAGAGGUAACGCCUCUGUUCCCGCCAUGGAGAUGACCAAGUGGUUUGACACCAACUAGUGAGUCUCCACCUGACCGCUGCUCUCUUGUGCUCCCUUUCAUUGACAUUGUCUUUUUUUGACUAGUGUUGUGUACUAAUGUAAUAAUGCUUUGUUGAUCCAGCCAUUACAUCGUCCCUGAGUUGGGCCCUGAGGUCAACUUCUCUUACGCUUCCCACAAGGCCGUCAAUGAGUACAAGGAGGCCAAGGCAGUACGUAUCUUUCUUUACUAUUAUCUAUUUCGUAGGAGAUGACUGUCGGCUAGAUGAGUAAUUAUUAGAGAUUAGAGUUCAUAGGCUUUGAGGAUUUAGUGUCUGUGCUUGGAUUCAUUGAGUAAUGUUUCACUGAGGAUCCUGAUAUGUUCUGAAUAAAAUCAAGAGGCAUAUUCACUUGAUAUAAAAGCUGUUAAAAAUUCAUUUGAUUUUUUGAUAGUCUUAUGUAUACCUAAAGUAUUUUUUUCUUUUCCUGCUUUUUUAUAAGUUCUGAUCUGUUAUACUUGAUUUUUAUGCAGCUUGGUGUUGACACCGUCCCUGUACUUGUUGGUCCAGUCUCUUACUUGUUGCUUUCCAAGGCUGCCAAGGGUGUUGACAAGUCCUUUGAUCUCCUUUCCCUUCUACCAAAAAUCCUCCCUGUCUACAAGUAAGAAAUCACUUUUUAUUAUGGGAUCCAUACUAUUGAUUUUAUGAAUGAUCCUCUGACAUUACAUUGCUAUGAUGACUUUAAUUUGUGUACAGGGAAGUGAUUUCUGAGCUUAAGGCAGCUGGUGCCACCUGGAUUCAGCUUGACGAGCCUGUCCUUGUUAUGGAUCUUGAGGGCCACAAGCUUCAGGCCUUUACCGGUGCCUACGCUGAGCUUGAAUCAACUCUUUCUGGUUUGAAUGUUCUUGUGGAGACCUACUUCGCUGAUAUCCCUGCUGAGGCAUACAAGACCCUAACAUCGUUGAAGGGUGUGACUGCCUUCGGGUUUGAUUUGGUUCGUGGCACCAAGACCCUUGAUUUGGUCAAGGCUGGUUUCCCAGAGGGAAAAUACCUCUUUGCUGGUGUUGUUGAUGGAAGGAACAUCUGGGCCAAUGACUUUGCUGCGUCUCUAAGCACCUUGCAGGCACUUGAGGGCAUUGUUGGUAAAGGUAAUAUGUUUGUCCAGAAUCAUUUGCGUUUUACCUGAAAAUAUUGGGAAUUACUGAAAACAUAUAAUUGAAAUGCUUAUCUGUUAUCUUUUUGUAUUUAUGCAGACAAGCUUGUGGUCUCAACCUCCUGCUCCCUUCUCCACACCGCUGUUGAUCUUAUCAACGAGACCAAGCUUGAUGAUGAAAUCAAGUCAUGGAUGGCGUUUGCUGCCCAGAAGGUCAUUGAAGUGAAUGCAUUGGCCAAGGCUUUGGCUGGUCAGAAGGAU
rnacentral:lncRNA from 1 species